rnacentral:rRNA from 1 species
UACGUAGGGUGCGAGCGUUGUCCGGAAUUAUUGGGCGUAAAGAGCUCGUAGGCGGUCUGUCGCGUCGAUCGUGAAAACUUGGGGCUUAACCCUGAGCUUGCGGUCGAUACGGGCAUGACUGGAGUUCGGCAGGGGAGAAUGGAAUUCCUGGUGUAGCGGUGAAAUGCGCAGAUAUCAGGAGGAACACCCGUGGCGAAAGCGGCUCUCUGGGACGGUACUGACGCUGAGACGCGAAAGCGUGGGGAGCAAACAGG